GGGAGGCAGCAGUGGGGAAUAUUGCACAAUGGGCGAAAGCCUGAUGCAGCGACGCCGCGUGAGGGAUGACGGCCUUCGGGUUGUAAACCUCUUUCAGCAGGGAAGAAGCGAGAGUGACGGUACCUGCAGAAGAAGCGCCGGCUAACUACGUGCCAGCAGCCGCGGUAAUACGUAGGGCGCAAGCGUUGUCCGGAAUUAUUGGGCGUAAAGAGCUCGUAGGCGGCUUGUCACGUCGGUUGUGAAAGCCCGGGGCUUAACCCCGGGUCUGCAGUCGAUACGGGCAGGCUAGAGUUCGGUAGGGGAGAUCGGAAUUCCUGGUGUAGCGGUGAAAUGCGCAGAUAUCAGGAGGAACACCGGUGGCGAAGGCGGAUCUCUGGGCCGAUACUGACGCUGAGGAGCGAAAGCGUGGGGAGCGAACAGGAUUAGAUACCCUGGUAGUCCACGCCGUAAACGGUGGGCACUAGGUGUGGGCAACAUUCCACGUUGUCCGUGCCGCAGCUAACGCAUUAAGUGCCCCGCCUGGGGAGUACGGCCGCAAGGCUAAAACUCAAAGGAAUUGACGGGGGCCCGCACAAGCGGCGGAGCAUGUGGCUUAAUUCGACGCAACGCGAAGAACCUUACCAAGGCUUGACAUACACCGGAAACGUCUGGAGACAGGCGCCCCCUUGUGG
rnacentral:rRNA from 1 species